UACUUUAUAUUCUCAGCAUUUUUUUGUAUCGAGAAGGAAAACAAUUUUUCACUUGCAAGUUGUUCUGAUAUGUUUUUCAGUUUAAAGAAAGCAGCUUUCAUACAAAAUUCUUUUUAAGCUCAAUAGGUACUGAAGGUUGUAAAAGUUCAUAAUUCAGAAGUUAUAACUUAAAUGUCUGGUGAAAAAUAUCUGUUCUAAUCCCAGGUUACUUCUUCUGGAACUCCAGCUUCUUUGUCACCUCUUCUUUGCAAUCUGUUCUACAAAAUUCAUCAAAAAGAUGUUUUUUCAAGAAUAGUAUUGAUCCAGAACAACUUAAGCAACAUGUCCUCACA
rnacentral:lncRNA from 1 species